GACGAACGCUGGCGGCGCGCUUAACACAUGCAAGUCGAGCGAAGCGGCGGCCGGGUGAGUAACACGUGAGUAACCUGUCUUAGACAUUGGGAUAGCCUCGGGAAACCGGGAUUAAUACCAAAUGGUCUAAGAGGGGCUCGGGUCCCAUUAGCUAGUUGGUGAGGUAACGGCCCACCAAGGCGACGAAGGUUAGCCGGCCUGAGAGGGUGAACGGCCACAUUGGAACUGAGAAACGGUCCAAACUCUACGGGAGGCAGCAGUGGGGAAUAUUGCACAAUGGAGGGAACUCGGAUGCAGCGACGCCGCGUGAACGAAGAAGUCUUUCGAGUCGUAAAGUUCUUUUAUAUGGGAAGCGGUACCAUAAGAAAAAGCCCCGGCUAACUACGUGCCAGCAGCCGCGGUAAUUC
rnacentral:rRNA from 1 species